rnacentral:misc_RNA from 1 species
GUGGAAUCGUGCUUGGAAGCUCGUUUGAACCCUGUUCGCUUCUCCUAAAAGGCAAACUCCUCUCAAAAUCUUAAUUUUUUUUAGUCGAGGUGUUGUAGUUCGCAUAUUUGAGCUCUUUCGAUGCUUGAGUUUGUUCUUGUUGGAUGUCUUUGUUGUUUUCUUACUCCAUCCUGAUCAAGCAUAAAAUCUGUACACGUAGUGUUUGAGUUUUCUCUUUCUUGUGUAUUCUUCUGCCUCAUUUCAAUGUAUUAUUAUUAUUAUUUUAUUGGGAUAAUGCACAAGUAGGCGCUUAACCUAUGCCCGAA